rnacentral:lncRNA from 13 species
UUAGCCCCAUAUAUACUGUAAAUGCAUUGACCUUACCCUUAUAUCAGAUAUCACGGAGGAAUUGUUGACCUGGGGCAUGAAUUGAAUUGCAUUUUUUUUUGUAUGUGAGUACAGGUUGUGGCCUGACUAGAUUUCUCGCAUAUAGGUUGCCCUUCAUCACUCAGCAGUGAAGAAUGAAAAUCAACAGAGCUUUCCCCAGCCUGCUGCUUAAGCAGCUGCUAACAGGCUGAGGCUGCCCAGCCGCAUUAACCCAUUAGAUGCUGCGUUAGCCCGGGAGUCAUUCUUAAUGAGGCUGCUGCAGUGUGCUCCCAGAUGUUUGGGUGCUCAGGGACACCUGCUCCUCAGCUGGCGCCAGCUUGGCCUCACCAUCCAGUCUUCAGGGUCCAAGCAGUGGACUUACACCCUUAAGAAAUGAAGACAUUGCACAAGAGAGUCCCUGAUAUCCCAGAGCCUACUGCCUAAGAGAGGACACAUCCUUCAACCAAUAAUCCACCAACAGCAAAAUCCAAUAGUAAGAAGUUCUUUGCUUUUUAGUUUACAAAUCACUUUUACAUACAUAAUCUCAUUUGAUCCUCCCAUCAAUUCCACGAUGGAAAAUACUUAUAAUUGGCUUUUAAAGGAAGAGGAAACUGUUGCUGGGAAGUUAAGUGACUUGGUCAAGGCUAAUUAGCAGCAGAGCCAGGACAAGAACUCAACAGGAAAAUGCCUGAAUUCUAAGGAGACUUUAAACUUUGUUCCAAAGAGUGAAGGAGUUAGAAAAAAUGCUAAUUUUUAUCUUACCUAAUGAGGCUUAGAGUGUUUCCAGACAUUUUUUCAAUUCCUCUUGCUGUUAUCAUCUUGAGGCUAACUCAGU